UACUAAUGUGCAGCUACGGUGUUAUGUAGG
rnacentral:piRNA from 1 species